GCUUUUCAGGUAGCUCAGUCGGUAGAGCACAAGACUCUUCAUCUCAGGGUUGUGUGUUCGAGCCCCAUAUUGGGCA